rnacentral:tRNA from 1 species
GGCGGCAUAGCUCAGCUGGUUAGAGCAACUGAAUCAUAAUCAGUAGGUCCUUGGUUCAAAUCCGAGUGCCGCUACCA